CGACGGGAUCGCGCAAAAAAGCUUUGCCUACUAUAUAAUACCAACGGCGGUGUCUGUGUGCAUUGCACGGUCUAUUCGUACGUGUCAAAAUACCGGUUGAGAACUGAUGUAUUUUUAACUUGAGCGUAUAAAAAAGUAGGGCGCAAUAUUGUCGACGGUUAUAUUAGCGCGGUCCAAGAGAGCUGCACAGUGUACGUUUUAUACGACGAAUUCAAAAAAUUAGCAACAAGUCCCGCAUUAUUUUAAUACGUAGGUACCUACAUAAUGUAAUACAUUAGUGCUGGGAAUAAUUUAAUAACCCACACUGUUUUAAUUCUUAACAAAUUCGCCGAAACACUUGAAAUUUAAAAGAAAAAAAAAACGGUAUCGUGUUAAUUGCUUAUUAUGUUCAACAGUAAACAUAGUAUAUUAUAUGCGUUUGGUUU